rnacentral:tRNA from 1 species
AGAAAUAUGUCUGACAAAAGA